CUUCUGUGAUUUCUUAGGUUAGUUCAGCACCUGAGUCUGUUAAGUUUCCUAUUUUUUGAGUUAAUGAUAGCCUCCCUCCAGAAUUGAAUAUUUGGCUUGGUGGAGAAUGCUGUACAUCUACUUACUUUAAACUUAACCUUUCACUGACGUCCUACUUUACAGUAUUUAUUUUUUAUGUGUAUGAAUGCUUGGCUGCAUGUAUUUAUGUGCACCGGGUCUGCGGUGCUCCUCGAGGUCAGAGGAGGACAUCAGGACCUCUGGAACAGAAACAGGUAGCAAUGCAUAUCCUAGUAAGAGCACCAGUGGAAGGAGAAGCCCUUGGUCCUGCUAAGACUGAACUCCCAGUGAACGUGAUUGUUGGGGACUUCAUCAAAUAUAAAUCUCCAAAAUGGAAGAAGGAGCAUAAAGAUGUGGUGUGCAGAAGAACAUUUGUUAAAGCAGAAAACAGCAGGUGAAGAAUUGAGCAAGAUAAAAUUUAUAGACCAGGAGGCAGCCAUGUUUCUGCUAUCUCCCUUCAUGCUUCUUUCCAUAGAAUCAGGCUUUCCAGAUUAACUUCAGGGAAAUUAAGCAUGCUUUAUUUCCUGGGAAGGAUGAAGUUCCUUAACAAGCAUUCCCAAGCAGAAGAGAAAACAAAGUGUAAGGAAGAAAAAACUUGAAUUUACUUGUGCUUUCCUUGGAAAUCUUGACUUCCUUAGGGCAAAGAUAUAUUUCUAAGAAAUCAUUAAGAAAGCUGAGGCUUUUCUGAGCUUUGAUUCUACCAAAUAUAUGUUCAUUUUCAGUGUUUGUUUGUACAUAGUAUUUAAACACAGUGAGAAAUAUAGAAUUUGUU